rnacentral:rRNA from 1 species
UACGUAGGGGGCAAGCGUUGUCCGGAUUUAUUGGGCGUAAAGAGCGUGUAGGCGGUUUUACAGGUCUGCUGUGAAAACUCGAGGCUCAACCUCGAGCUGUCGGUGGAAACUGUAAGGCUAGAGUCCGGAAGAGGAGAGUGGAAUUCCUGGUGUAGCGGUGAAAUGCGCAGAUAUCAGGAAGAACACCCGUGGCGAAGGCGGCUCUCUGGGACGGUACUGACGCUGAGACGCGAAAGCGUGGGGAGCGAACAGG